GGGCUCGUAGCUAAGCAGUAUAGCGCCCGCUUGGCGUGCGGGAGGCCGAGGGUGCGAUUCCCUCCGAGUCCA
rnacentral:tRNA from 1 species